rnacentral:lncRNA from 1 species
GGCAGGACCAGCAGCACCAGUGGGUUUCACUUUGGUCGGCACCAUUGGAUGCCUGUGACAGCUAUGGCAAGUGUGGUCAAUUUGGCAAUUGCAAUCCUUACACCAACAGUGGGUUCAACUGCACAUGCUACCCCGGAUAUGAACCAACCUCACCGCAGGAUUGGGAUUUAAGAGAUGGGACAGAUGGGUGCAAGAGGCCGCAGGACUCGCUGUCCAUGUGCAGGAACGGCGAGGGUUUUGUGAAGAUGAAAAAUGUAAAGGUUCAGACACGUCCUCUAUAAAAUUGGAGAAUAAUUUGAGCAUAGUAGCGUGCGAGGAGGAGUGCUUGAAGAACUGCUCGUGCUUGGCAUACGCGAGUGCAGAUGUGAGGAAUGGAGGGACUGGAUGCAUGACAUGGUAUAGAGAUUUGAUGGAUACUAAGCAGUUCACAGAAGGCGGGCAAGAUUUGUACAUUCGCGUUGAUGCAGUUGUUUUAGGUACCUUAUUUUCCUACAGAUUGCGUCAAUUACAUGUUUCAACUUCAUACCAUUCAUAGCACUGGUGAAUUGACCUUUUUUUUCAUAUUUUCAGCUCAGUAUAAAAACAAGUCAGGAGGAGGGUAUUUUUCCGGGAGAAGGCGACUGGCUAUUAUAUUGGUAGUGUCAAUUUCUGUCCCCUCAUUGCUCAUCCUCGCAGUUCUAUGCUGGUUCGGGAAAAGGAGCAGGAAAGGUAUGCGAAAAGGAAAAGUUUCCCCUUCUGUCGUCUUGUAAAUUUGUUUGCAGCUUUAUUUCAGCUCAAAUUUCAUUUUCUUUGUGAAAUUUUUUUAUACCCUGAAAUUUCAAUGGAAUUGAGACAGGGAGAGGAGGAGAACCCAGAUUUUCUGAACGAUCCCGCUGCUUCUGGUGUACGAAGCUAUGAAGAUUUGCCAAUAAAAAAUGAGGUUGAUGAACACAGAGGAGACACAGAUUUACCUUUUUUCGAUUUAACCACUGUGGUUGCAGCCACAGAAAACUUCUCUUCUGCUAACAAGCUUGGACACGGCGGCUUCGGCACGGUAUAUAAGGUACUUUCCCUAGAACAUUUUGAGUGUCUCAGCAUUUUGUGGCUUCAAAAUAAAAUGUGAAAUACGCUUCCGUGUACUUUGUUUACUCUGCUGCAAAUAUAUCAAUACAUAAGCUCUGUGAUAUUGAGGCAGAUAAGACAGAAUUGGAUAUAAACAUUAUAUCGAUCUGAAGUUGUCAUUAAGAUUGUCGAGUCUUCACUGUGAUUUCAGGGAUGUCUAGCUGAUGGACAGGACAUAGCUGUCAAAAGAUUAUCGAGAAAUUCAGGACAAGGCGUAGAUGAAUUCAAGAACGAAGUAAUGCUUAUAGCAAAGCUUCAGCAUAGAAAUCUUGUGAGGCUUUUGGGUUGGUGCAUACAUAAAGAAGAGAGGAUGCUAAUCUAUGAAUACAUGCCGAAUCGCAGCUUGGACUUAUGCAUUUUCGGUAUGCAAUCUAUGAAUACAUGCUGAAAUUAAGAAAUCCUAAACUUGUAGCUCAUAGAAGCUUUUAUGUGUUGUGUUCAGAUAAAAACAGAAAGUCGUUGUUAGAUUGGAGAAAAAGAUUUCAAAUUAUCAUUGGGAUUGCUCGAGGCGUCCUAUAUCUUCAUCAAGAUUCGAGACUAAAAAUAAUCCACAGGGAUUUGAAAGCAAGCAAUGUUUUACUGGAUGGUUCAAUGAACCCAAAAAUAUCAGAUUUUGGCAUGGCAAGAAUGUUCGGGGAUGACCAAAUUGAAGCAAACACGAAUAGAGUUGUUGGCACCUAGUAAUUCUCUCCUCUCACUUGAAAUAAAACUCUAGAGCUGAUAUUUUUUUUAGUACUGAUAAUGUGUGAUUGCAGCGGUUACAUGUCACCGGAGUAUGCUAUGGAUGGGCUAUAUUCCACAAAAUCCGAUGUGUUUAGCUUCGGAGUCUUGGCACUAGAGAUCAUUAGUGGCAGAAAGAACAGUUUCCAAUUCGAAAACACCUCUCUGAAUUUGGUUGGACUUGUAAGUAAACAAAUAAUUUUUUAGACGCUGAAUCUAACUCUCGCAUAGUCCAAUGAUCUAAACAUUGUGCUCACACUUUUUUCAGAUAUGGGACUUGUGGACAGAAGGAAAAGUCUUGGACAUAAUUGAUUCAUCACUGAACCAGUCGUAUUCGACUCAUGAAGUUAUGAGAUGCAUUCAGAUUGGGCUCUUGUGCGUGCAAGAAAAUGCAACAGACCGGCCAACCAUGCUAGAUGUUGUGUUCAUGCUGGGGAAUGAAACGAAUCUUCCACAUCCAAAAAAGGCAGCGUUUAGCUUCAAAACCGGCGGUCCAGAUUCUUCAAUGUCUAGAGGAGCUUCCUCUGUAAAUGAUAUAACAGUAACAGUUAUUGAAGCUCGUUGAGUUUGCACUUUUUAGGCUCUUGUAGAGAUUUUGCUUUACUCUAUAAAGUAUUUGUACUCAAAUCGAGAUUUCUUUGUACGUGAAGAUUUUAAAUUCAAAUUCAAAUCCCAGAAUCCAAACGAGGCCCAAAUGUUUAAAUUUUAGAUCAAACAUGAAGACGUGUGAGUAACAAAUUGAAAUUCUCAGUUGUAAACAAAAAUCUUGGCCGUGAUAGGUAGCGUGCGAAUUCCCCUUCUUAACAAAACAAGUUUUAGUUUUUAAUUUUUUUUAUUACAAAAAUAAGCUUGGAAUUUUGACAAAAGUUAGAACUUAUAAAUUGAUAUGCACCAAUUCAUUUAUUUUGGAUUCAUAAACAUAGAAAUUUUGAAUUUUCAUGUGAAAAAAAUUUGGAAUUUGGGACUCCAAGUGUUUUGAAUUCUAUGUAAAUGAAUGUCAUUUCUAAAUUUUUAUGAGUGGGAGUUUAAAAAUAAAAAAUUCCUAUUCAUAUUCGAUCAUUCUUGUAGUUUAACCAAACAAAAAAAAAAAUUCAAAUUCUUUACAAAUUCUAAAAAAUAAAAUUCCGUAAUUUUGAAAUUCCUUAAUAAUUUUAAAUUUCUUUGUCCAGUGUAAAGCUAAAUUGAAAUUCUCAGUUUUCGAUAACUAUGCUGGUAGCACACUAAUGACUUUUUUGUUAAAUUAUUAUUGAUACUAAAUUAUUGGAGACCACAUGCUAAUGACUUAGGUUAUAAAACAUUUCUUCUUCUUUCAACGAUGUCUUCUUAUGUGGACCCAAAAAAUGAUGUCCUCAUAUAUUAUAACACUUCAGACAAUAUACUGUAAUUUUAGGCCUAAUCGGAUAAAUGGUCAUCGUGGUCAUAAGGUAUUCGGAUGAUAGCCCAUGUGGUAAAAAAAGUCGGAUUUAAACCCCUGUGGUAUAAAUCUGUUAGGAUUUAUGCCCUUAUGUUAAAUAAUGCUGACGUGGCUGCCACAUAUAUGCCACGUGGCUACCAAAUGUCUGCCACAUGGCAAAAAUAAUAAUUUUUAAUUUAAAAAAAAAAAACCUGAAUUUUUACAAAAAAAAAAAAAAAACCCAGAUCUACAAGAAGAACAAGAAGAAGAAGGAAAAGGGAGAGGGAGGAGGGUCGCGCGGGGAGAGGGCUCCGACGAGGGGGGAGUUGGUCUCCGGCGGGAAGAAGAAGAAGAAGAAGAAGGGAGGAGUCGCGCGGGGAGACCGGCGGGAAGAAGAAGAAGAAGGAAGAAGGAGAGGGAGGAGGGUCGCGCAGGGAGAGGGCUCUGGCGGGGGGGGGGGGAAUGGGCAGAGGGCGGGGGGAGCUUCUGGGUUUUUGUUUUUUUUUUUGGUUGUAAAAAUUCAGGUUUUAAAAAAAAAUUAAAAAUUAUUAUUUUUGCCACGUGGCAGACAUUUGGCAGCCACGUGACAUAUAUGUGGCAGCCACGUCAACAUUAUUUAACAGAAGAGCAUAAAUCCUAAUAGACUUAGAUCACAGGGCUUUAAAUCCUAACAGACUUAGACCACAGAGGUUUAAAUCCGAAUUUUUUUACCACAGGAGCUAUCAUCCGAAUACCUUAUGACCAGGGGAACCAUUUAUCCGAUUAGGCCGUAAUUUUAUGCUUAUCUACACUCUUAUUUUUUUAAUGAUUUUAAUAGUCACCUCGCAGCACUGAAGGCAAUUAUAUUACUUUAUUUUAAAGUAGGGGUGGUGCUGUGCAAUUUUGGGGCAGAUUUUAGUUUAUUUAUGAAAUUACCACUGAGUCUAUCUGCCCCCUGAUUUAACGUUAUUUGCAAAAUUGCCACUGGGCUUCAGAAUGGGUUUUGGGUCUUUGGGCAGAAUUUUCGGUUUUGCGAUCCACGCGUUGAUGAUCGCUGUGUAAGAUCGCCGAUUUGGUGAGGGGAUGGGACAAAAACGGAAAGCCAAACCUCCGCCACAAACGAAGUCACGAACGCCACUCUCACUCACCCUCCACCGUUGCACACGAACCCAAUCAUAAUUCUGAAAUCCAAACACGACCUAGAUGGUAAUCCUUCAGAGAAUGGCAAUGGCCACUUCUUCUUCCUUCCUCUCAGUCCCUCUCCUAAAGGCCUCUUCUUUGCUUUCCCCAGUUAAACACUGCGCUUCGCCACUGAGCUCCGAGUUCAGGGCUCUGUCCCUCUACGGCGGUAGAGAUGGAGUCUCUGUUGGAAUAUGAGUAUAAAAACAUGAUUGUGGAUUAGCUAUUAUAUUGAAUGAAUUUUGAAUGGAAAAGUCUUGAUAAAGUGUUUGUGUAAAUCCUAUUUCUUGUAGGAUUAUGAGUGGUUUUAGUGUUCCUUUGGGAAAAGGUUUUGGAUCCUUCUCGGAUUGAUCUUGUGCACUCAUUGUGCAAAAGGGUUUCUGUUUUAGAGUCCAACACUAAUUCUAAUAGGAGAAUGUGUUGGAUUAAUGCUGUAUAUAACCACAAUCACUGCUCUUGCAAAGAUACGGCUCAUAUUGUGUUGAAUACCUAUUGUUCAAAGAGCUCUCUAGUUUUGCUAAAGAGGAGAAGAUUGUCUGGUGGUGAAGCUGCUAUGGCUUCUUCGAGUUCAAGUUCUGCAGGUAUGUUUUGAUUGGUUUAAUGCUGAGAUUUAUGGUUAUGUUGUUCACAUUGUUUGUUGGUAGUAUUGGUGAUUUAUUGGCAUAUCUAUGAUCUGGCAUGUUAUUCUUACAUGUGGUAUCAGAGCCUGGACAGAUUAUUGCCAUUAAGUUCGAAAUUUUGUACAACAAUUUGGACAAGAAACCAUAAUCUUAAAACCCAGAAACGCAUAACCUGUUUUUGAGCAUAACAGUAAAAAACGACACCGUUUAAAAAAAAAAAAAAAAUUUAAAUUUAUACCGUUAUGAUCGCCGGGUUUGCGUCUUUUGCUUUGCCUUGCAUCUUUUCUUUUCAUGGUCUCUGGGUAUAUGGCGAUUCAAUGAAUGAUUCUUCUGAUUCUCUCUGAUUCUUCUCGUGUCAAUUUCAUUCAUUGAUUUCUCCAAACAGGUAUGUCUGCAAUCUUGAAACUUGAAUUUAGGUUAAAAAGCUUAUUUGAACUAGAGAACACCGUAUAUAUGCAAAUUUGUUAGCAUCUCGCCAAUUUGAAUCAAAAUUAUCUAAAUGGAUAAACUGAAGAAUUAUUUUAAUGUUUCCGCUGCUAAUUUGUUUGGGUUUAUUGAAUUUUUUGAUUUUCAAUGCAUGUGGUGUGAUAUUUGAAUAUCAUCCCUUUCGAGCAUGAUUCUUGAAUACAAUCUUCUGUGAGUUGUUUACUCUAUACAUGGUUGUCUUUAUUAAAGUUUGAGACCAUGUGUAUGACAAAAUUGACUCAUUAUGAGGAUUACAUAGUGAAAUAGAUGGAAAUCAUGAAUCCCGAAAAGAUUCAAUGUGAUGAUUUCAUUGUUAUCUUCUGCAGUUUCACUAAAAACAAUGAAUUUGGCUGCUGUACCUAUACUCACUGGUGGGAGCAAUUACAAAAAAUGGAGAAGGGAAAUGGAAUUGCUCUUGACAUUAAAUGAGUAUGAUAUAGCACUUGAUACACCACAACCUGCGCCUCUUACUGAUAAGAGUUCAAAGGCUGAGAAGGUUGAGUUCGAAAGAUGGACAAGAGCUAAUAAAGUGGCAUUAUCCAUUUUGGAGAGCGGGAUGACGGACACUGUUCGUGGAGGUAUCAAAAGGUGUGAUCUAGCAAAAGAUUAUUUCAAAGCUAUUGAGAGCAAAUUCAAGGAAUCACAAAAGGCUGAGAUUGCUCAGUAUAUGACCCUUCUCACAACUUACAAAUUUGAAGGUGGUGGUUCAGUCAGAGAUCACAUUAUGAGGAUGACCGAUGCGGCUGAGAAGCUUAAUUCAUUAGACAUGAACAUUUGUGAAAAGCAGCUAGUGUUCAUGAUUCUGCAAGCGCUUCCUUUGAAGUUCAGUCAAUUAAAAGUCUCUUACAACACUCAAGAUAAGUCAUGGACAGUGGAUGAACUGAUAUCUCAAUGUGUUCAAGAGGAAAAUCGACAGAAGCAAGACAAAGGAAAGGAAGCUGAGACCAUCAAUUUUGUGCAGACUUCUAAAAGGAGGGAUCUCAAUGCAAAUUCUGGUAAAUCUCCUCAAUUCAAACAUCCUGAUAAAUCUUUUGUGUCUGCUAAGAAUUCCCAUUCCUCUAAAUCUAAUAAUCUUAAAGUUAAAACUAAAAACAUUGAAAAGGUUAGGUGUCAUCAUUGCAAAACUAAAGGUCAUUAUAGAAAAGAUUGUGAAAUAUUCAAAGAAUGGCUUAGGGCUAAAGGUAGAGAACUAAUGUAUAUGUCUGUGAGGAAUCAAAUCUCAUUGAAAUUCCGGCAAAUUCCUGGUGGUUUGAUACUGGUGCAUCUGUGCAUAUAACCAAUUCACUGCAUGGUUUUGAAAAACAAAAACAAACAAAUGAUUAUAACGUUUUUGUUGGUGAAGGAACCAGAGUUGUAGUUGAAUCGAUAGGGAAAGUGAAACUAAAAUUGGCUUCUGAAUUUGUGUUGGAACUGUCCAAUGUUUUAUAUGUGCCUGCAAUGAGAAGAAGUUUAAUCUCUGCAUCUAAGUUAGUAGCUGAAGGUGUUAUUUUCAUAGGUGAUAAAGAAUGCAUCAAAUUUUUUUGUAGGGGAGCCUUGAUAGGAAAAGCAGUUUUGCAUGAUCAGUUAUGGAAAAUGCAGUGCACAUUGUUGGACAAUGAGUUAAGUGUUUUAAAUACGACUGCCAAAAGAAUGCAAAAUUUUGACAACUCUUAUAUGUUGUGGCAUAAAAGACUAGGACAUAUUUCGAAGGACAGGAUCAUGCAAUUAUCAAAAUUAAAUUUCAUACCUGCUUUAGAUUUUCAUAAUGCAUCUGAAUGCAUUGACUGUAUGAAGGGUAAAACCACCAACUUUAGGAAAAUGGAUGCCAAUAGAAGUAAAAAUUUGCUUGAGAUUAUACACACCGAUGUUUGUGGACCUUUUCCUAUCAAAACUAUUUGUGGAAAUUCAUACUUUGUGAGUUUUAUAGAUGAUUUCUCCAGACAUGGUUACAUAUUUCUAAUAAAAGAAAAGUCAGCAGUUCUUGAGUGUUUCAAAAUUUUUAAAUGUGAGGUAGAAAAACAACUAAACCUAGUGAUUAAGAUUGUUAGAUCAGAUAGAGGAGGGGAAUACUUUGGCAGGCACACAGAAGCAGGACAACAAAAGGGUCAUUUUGCACGGUUUCUUGAGCAGCAAGGUAUUGUGGCCCAGUAUACUACUCCGGGAACACCCCAACAGAAUGGAGUGGCUGAGAGAAGAAACCGAACCUUGAUGGGAAUGGUUAGAAGUCUCAUUUCAAGAUCUAAGCUGCCUGGUUUUCUGUGGGGAGAAGCAUUGAGGACAUCAAACUAUGUGUUGAACCGAGUGCCUACAAAAUCAGUGCCAAAAACACCUUUUGAGCUAUGGACUGGCAGAACACCAAGUUUUCAUCAUUUUCAUGUGUGGGGUUGCAAAGCAGAAGCUAGGUUUUACAACCCAAAUGAAAGGAAGCUCGAUUCUAGAACCAAUUCAUGCUACUUUGUGGGAUAUUCAGAGAAAUCGAAGGGUUUCAAGUUUUAUUGUCCUCGAGCACAGACAAGAAUUCAAGAGACUCACAAUGCAGUUUUCUUAGAAGACCAAGAUGUAUCAGACUUAGUGCAUGACACUUUUGAGUUUGAAGAAUCAGAACAACUCGUUGGCUCGGUUCCAAUGGCCUACAACCAUAUUUCAGUAUUGCCUAGAAAUCAGACAGAGGAAGAAGAUCUUGAUGAAGAGAUGACACAUGAAAUAGUUGCUGAAAUACAAAAUGAACAUGGAGAUACCUUUUCUACACGAAAUAUACCCCUAAGUGCUCCAAGUUCUCCCAUUGAGAAAGAUACAUGUCCAGUAAAUGAUCAAUUGAAUCUGAGGAAAUCAAGUAGAGCCAAGAAACCUGCAAUUUCAGCCGAUUAUGUCUAUCUCCAGGAGGCAGAAUUUGACAUAGGUGAUAUAGAUGAUCCAGCCACUUAUCAACAAGCAAUUCAAUGUUCUCAAGCUGCAUUAUGGAAGAAAGCAAUGAUGGAAGAGCUAGAUUCCAUGGCCAAGAACAAAGUAUGGACCCUUGUGAACUCCAAUUCAAAUGCUAAAACCAAUAGGUUGCAAGUGGGUCUACAAAACUAAAAGGGAUGCUGCUGCAGGGAGCAUAGAGAGAUACAAGGCUCGGUUAGUAGCCAAAGGCUUUACUCAGAGAGAAGGGAUUGAUUACAAUGACACGUUUUCACCUGUUUCUUCCAAAGAUUCUAUGAGGAUCAUCAUGGCUUUGACAUCUCAUUUUGAUCUGGAGCUACACCAGAUGGAUGUUAAAACCGCCUUUUUGAAUGGUGAUUUAGAGGAAGACAUAUACAUGGUCCAACCUCCUGGAUUUUCUGAAAGGGGGAAAGAUAAUAUGGUCUGCAAGCUAAACAAGUCAAUUUAUGGACUUAAACAAGCAUCUAGGCAGUGGUUCCUCAAAUUUGAUCAGGUAGUUACNCAAGUGUUCUGCUACACUUAAACCAUCCUUGUAUUCACAUGAUGAGCUCUUUGAUCAAGAAUGCUUUUUAGCUGGAGUUUUCUUCUCGAACAAGGACAAGCUUGCCAAAACUCGCGCAUUGGCAUUGACACAUGGUGAAACACUAUCGUCCACCCAUUGUCUAAUUGUACCAAUAGCCUUACGAUUCAUUUUCCACCGGCACGAACAUGCUCUCGGGCUGGCGGCAUCUCCUUCAAUUGGCUCAUGCAGAUCCUUGCAAUAAAGAGGCCUUCAUCCUUGGCUUUCAUGUUACCCAAUUGGAGUUGGUGAGUUUGAUCAUAGUGCCACUUCCUUCCAUCCGAGUACGAGCCAACUUGGCUCUGAUACCACUUGUAGGAAUGUCAUACUACAAGAUAGAGAAUGCACAAGGUAAAGUAGAAAAUGGACACCAAAAUUUAUGUGGUCGGCAAUUUAGCCUACGUCCAUAAGACAAGGAUCAAUCUACUAUAUGAAAAAGUGAGUACAACAAGAUAUCACCAAGCCAAAGACAAGGCUUGAUGGACAAGAAAGUAUGACACACACUUUCUAUUACUCUAAACUUCACUCACAAUGUGUAGUGGAACACUCUCACUCUCACUCUUGGAGUGGAACUCUAGCUUUGGACUUGAUCCUUUGCUACUCACACUUGGUUCUUAAUUGGUUACAUCACACCCAUAUUUAUAGGUGAGAGCUUGACAUUCUACUAGUUUCUAUUUCCUUCUUCAAACCUCUAGUAUAGAAAAUUCUAGACUAGCCACAUAAUUGUAGCUUCUAGAUCUUUCCAUUUGCAACCAAGGAAGCUAGUACUCUCUAACUUCUUCCAUCAACUUAAUAACAUGCAAGAAUUGUCUAACAUGCUCCCGCCUCCUCUCUUGCUUACUAGAAUAAUCUAGAACAUUGAUCAUAGGCUGGACCAUAUACCAACAAGGAGUUCUCUCAAUAGGUUCUGAUGGAAACCUAGUGCUGCAAGCCAAUACUAGCCAAGGCCUUAUUCCUCUGUGGUCAACAAAUGUUUGAUAUCAUCAGAGGCAACGUAAUAUUUUUGCGCAUUCUUGAUUCAGGAACCUUGGCGCCAGCUUGGCAGAGCACUGAUCACCGCGAAAUUCUUCUUCCGAAUAUGAAAGCCGUGGACAGAAGAAGUGGCAUAAACCGGUUCCUCACGUGUGGAACUGGACAAUGAUCCUGGACGGGGAAUGUUUCGUUGAGAAUGGACCGAAUGGAUCGCCUCAGUUGAUCUUGUACAAGGAUGACGCUAAGUAGUCAGGCAGUGGAACGGGAUUCAAUGGCGGCAUACCUGCCAUGCAUCGGAGCGUUGUGUUUAAGAUCAAUUUCUGAACAACAAAGAAAUUUCUGUGCAGUGGACUGUUCCGACUUUUAUUUACUCGGUGAUCACAAUGACGGGUCGGGACUCAACCAGCAUCAUGGCAGGACCAGCACACCAGUGGGUUUCGCUUUGGUCCGCACCUUGGAUGCCUGUGACAGCUAUGCAAGUGUGGUCAAUUUGGCAAUUGCAAUCCUUACACCAACAGUGGUUCAACUGCACAUGCUACCCGGAUAUGAACCAACCUCACCGCAGGAUUGGGAUUUAAGAGAUGGGACAGAUGGGUGCAAGAGGCCGCAGGGUUCGCCGUCCAUGUGCAGGAACGGCAAGGAUUUUGUGAAGAUGGAAAAUGUAAAGGUUCCAGACACGUCCUCUAUAAAAUUGGAGAAUAA